rnacentral:tRNA from 1 species
GGGGACGUGGUGGAACUGGUAGACACGCAAGAUUGAGGUUCUUGUGGCCGCAAGGCUGUGGAAGUUCGAGUCUUCUCGUCCCCACCA